ensembl:lncRNA
ACGCGGUCUGCUGGCUGACCUUCAUCCCUCAGAUCUCUGACCAGAACAUGAGCUUUGGCUGUGAGGUGCAGAACACAGCCCUGCUGAAGCCCAUCUUAGAGGAGUUCACGCUGCACAUCACAGUGGAUACUACCCUGACAACGUGUCCAUUCUCUGGAUCCAGAAUGGAAAGGUUCUUCCCAACUGUACUUUGUACAUCAGUAUCUCACCCUGAGUGCGGAGGAGAGGAGCAGAGGAGGAGAGGUGCAGUGUGUGGCCAGCCACCUGAUGUGAAAGAACCUGCCUAUGGAACUAUCGACCUCUCCGCCGUUGACCCACAAGAGAAGCUGAAGUCUCUGAACAUCUCAGCGAUUGUUCUGCCCCCCAGGGUGGUUGUGAGUAAGAAAGGCAGAGUCACCAUCAGUGUGGAAGGCAGGUUGGCAGAGAGAGUACAGACCACAUGGUUUCUCAAUGAUGUCCCCAUUACAGACACUGCAUACAGAGAGAAAAAAUAUGGUCCUUUUUGCUUGGCAGCCUAUACUCCUCACAGCUCUCAUGUGUCUUUGGUGUCGGAGAAAAGCUCUCUGCUGCCCUCUGCUGCUGCCUCAGGAUAUUACAAGCUGCACACUCAGAUGUCGCCAUGCUUGUUCUCCUGCUCCAUGAAGCAGCUGUUCUCCUCGGUCACAUUUAUAACAAACCUGUCCAUUCACAAGGGUGCAGUUUUCAAAUGCCACAUCUCAUUUAAGGGCAAAGACAAGCUUGUGGCCAAGAGAGUUUCCGACAAGUUUACUAUUCAAGCACCACCUGAAGUUUCAUUGAUCCAGUUCUCAGAGUCAAAUGAGGAAGGAGGCGUUGUGACCAUGAUGGCCCAGGCCUCUGGCUUUCAUCCGGACAUCACCACCUUCCGCUGGUUCUGUGAGGGCAGCGAGCUGAGCCCCGUGUCUGUCCCGCAGGUGCUGGCGGCCCCUUGGCCAGACGCUGCAGGCUUCUUCUCGGCCCUGAGCCAGUGCAGGCCCCCGCUGCAGAGCUGGAGCGAGGGGAGACCCAGGUGUGGGUCACUGUCCACCACACGGCCCUCAAACAGCGCCUCACACACCAGACUAGAGGUGACAUAACUGAGCACUUGUGAUUCAGAUAAAGACAGUGUUUAGAAUGGAGUGCAUCAGUGGUCUUGGUGCUGGAGGUAUUUUUCCAU